AUCCUCCUUGGGGACUCCAAAAUUCUCCUUGGGGACUCCAAAAUCCUACUCGGUGGCCUCAAAAUCCAACUCGGGGACUGCAAAUCCUGCUCGGGGACACCAAAUCCUACUCAUCGGCCUCAAAUCCUCCUUGGGGACCCCAAAUGCUCCUUGGGGACUCCAAAUUCUACUCAACGGCCUCAAAAUCCUCCUCGGGGACUCCAAGUCCUCCUCGGUGGCCUCAAAUUCCUCCUCGGCCUUGCCUCGAUAGCGGUGUCACCUCCCUGGUGGCCUCCCUGGUGGCCUCCCUGGUGGCCUCACCUCCCCGGUGGCCUCCCCCCUUGGGCCUCCUAAAUGGUGUCACCUCCUUGGUGGCCUCCUCCUGAUGUCACCUCCCUGGUGGCCUCCCCAUCGAUGUCACCUCCUUGGUGGCCUCAACCCUUGGUGGCCUCCUGGUGGUGUCACCCCCCUGGUGACCUCCUUGGUGGCCUCCUCAUUAAUGUCACCUCCCUGGUGGCCUCAACCCUUGGGCCUCCACUGUGAUGUCACCUCCCUGGUGGCCUCCCCAUCAAUGUCACCUCCCUGGUGGCCUCAACCCUUGGUGGCCUCCACCGUGGUAUCACCUCCUUGGUGGCCUCCUGGUGGUGUCACCCCCUUGGUGGCCUCCCUGGUGGCCUCCCCAUCAAUGUCACCCCCUUGGUGGCCUCAACCCUUGGUGGCCUCCUCGG
rnacentral:lncRNA from 1 species